AGCAGCCGCGGUAAUUCCAGCUCCAAUAGCGUAUAUUAAAGUUGUUGCAGUUAAAAAGCUCGUAGUUGAAUUUCGGGAUCAAUAUUUCGGUCAUGCCGUUGGUAUGCACUGUUAUCAUUGAUUUCUCACCUUCUAAAGAACCGUAAUGCCAUUAAUUUGGUGUUACGGGGAAUUAGGACUGUUACCUUGAAAAAUUAGAGUGUUUAAAGCAGGCUCACGCUUGAAUACAUUAGCAUGGAAUAAUGAAAUAGGACAUCCGAUUCUAUUUUGUUGGUUUCUAGGAUCGAUGUAAUGAUUAAUAGGGAUAGUUGGGGGCAUUAGUAUUCAAUUGUCAGAGGUGAAAUUCUUGGAUUUAUUGAAGACUAACUACUGCGAAAGCAUUUGCCAAGGAUGUUUUCAUUAAUCAAGAACGAAAGUUGGGGGAUCGAAGACGAUCAGAUACCGUCGUAGUCUUAACCAUAAACUAUGCCGACUAGGGGAUCGGAUGAUGUUAAUUUUUUAAUGACUCAUUCGGC
rnacentral:rRNA from 1 species